UACGGAGGGUGCAAGCGUUAAUCGGAAUUACUGGGCGUAAAGUGCACGCAGGCGGUUUGUUAAGUCAGAUGUGAAAUCCCCGAGCUUAACUUGGGAACUGCAUUUGAAACUGGCAAGCUAGAGUCUUGUAGAGGGGGGUAGAAUUCCAGGUGUAGCGGUGAAAUGCGUAGAGAUCUGGAGGAAUACCGGUGGCGAAGGCGGCCCCCUGGACAAAGACUGACGCUCAGGUGCGAAAGCGUGGGGAGCAAACAGG
rnacentral:rRNA from 1 species